CGCCUUCACCGGUGACUUUGGUGUGAAGCAGCCUACUAAGGCACGCGGUGAAUGCCAA
rnacentral:pre_miRNA from 1 species